rnacentral:rRNA from 1 species
AUUGAACGCUGGCGGCAUGCUUUACACAUGCAAGUCGAACGGUAACAGGCCGCAAGGUGCUGACGAGUGGCGAACGGGUGAGUAAUGCAUCGGAACGUGCCCAGUCGUGGGGGCUAACGCAGCGAAAGCUGUGCUAAUACCGCAUACUAUCUAUGGAUGAAAGCGGGGGACCGUAAGGCCUCGCGCGAUUGGAGCGGCCGAUGUCAAAUUAGGUAGUUGGUGGGGUAAAGGCCUACCAAGCCGACGAGCUGUAGCUGGUCUGAGAGGACGACCAGCCACACUGGGACUGAGACACGGCCCAGACUCCUACGGGAGGCAGCAGUGGGGAAUUUUGGACAAGGGGCGCAAGCCUGAUCCAGCAAUGCCGCGUGCAGGAAGAAGGCCUUCGGGUUGUAAACUGCUUUUGUACGGAACGAAACGGUCUGGGUUAAUACCCUGGGCUAAUGACGGUACCGUAAGAAUAAGCACCGGCUAACUACGUGCCAGCCGCCGCCGUAAUAC